UACGAAGGGGGCUAGCGUUGCUCGGAAUCACUGGGCGUAAAGCGCACGUAGGCGGCUUUCUAAGUCAGGGGUGAAAUCCUGGAGCUCAACUCCAGAACUGCCUUUGAUACUGAAGAUCUUGAGUUCGGGAGAGGUGAGUGGAACUGCGAGUGUAGAGGUGAAAUUCGUAGAUAUUCGCAAGAACACCAGUGGCGAAGGCGGCUCACUGGCCCGGUACUGACGCUGAGGCACGAAAGCGUGGGGAGCAAACAGGAUUAGAAACCCGAUAGUA
rnacentral:rRNA from 1 species